GUCCCUGUAGCGCAAUGGAUAGCACGUUGAACUUCUAAUUCGAAGGUCAUGGGUUUGAAUCCCACCUGGGAUG
rnacentral:tRNA from 1 species